UGACAGCAUAGCAACCGGUUGUUUACUUUUUUGCUCUCUCCAAAUUCAAUUAAGAUGUAAACACAAGAAAAAUAUUCAAAUUUUCGUAAAAUUUGCCAGAGCCGUAACAAAGUUUAAUAGAAGAUUCUUCAUACAAUUUGUUAAGGAAUUGAAAACACGGGAUUUUAAGAUAGAAGAGAUGUAUUUCGCAAAAGAACUGCUAUCAAGAACUCAAGCCAUCACGUAAUCUGUAACAGCAAGCAGUAAAGAGGAAAUUAUUUAUUAACUUAAAAGAAGAAAUGUGAAUCAUCUAAAGAGAAAAACAGAAUAAAGAACUGAAAAUUUAAAUUUAUGUAUUAAGCAUCAAAAUCAUUUAAUUAUCAACAAUAAUUAUUUUUGUUUCAAAGUUUCUGAAAAUAUAUAAAUUAUUUUCAUAGCAUAU
rnacentral:lncRNA from 1 species